rnacentral:snRNA from 1 species
GAACGGAGGGUGAUCUAGCUGCAGNGUCUGUUACCUUGUUGAUUGUCAGUGUUGAUCGGGCUGCCUAGGUGAGCUUCCCUUUCCUCCCUCACCGCUAUACAUGCGUCCUCUUGAAUCUGUGUGCUUGGUGGAAGAGGANAACCANCCCAAAUAGAAGGAGUGCNNCAUUCUUCAGUCAAGAGUAUAUGAUAGCUAUGCGUUACACAUGUGCAAGGUUCAUGCUCACAAGGCUCGUAAGCCUUAAGAACNGGCCACACCCUUCUUAAAUGAGAGCUGGGUUU